rnacentral:tRNA from 1 species
GGGAGUGUAGCUCAGCUUGGGAGAGCGGUGGUCUCCAAAACCAUAGGUCGGGGGUUCGAAUCCUCCCACUCCCGC